UGGGGGAUAGUUUAACGGUAGAACAGCUGACUCUGACUCUGCUAGUCUUGGUUCGAAUCCAGGUCCCCCAGCCA
rnacentral:tRNA from 1 species